GAAAUGCGAUAAGUAAUGUGAAUUGCAGAAUUCAGUGAAUCAUCGAAUCUUUGAACGCACAUUGCGCCUAUUAGUAUUCCUUGGAGCAUGCCUGUUUGAGUAUCAUGAAAUCUUCAAAGUAAAUCUUUUGUUAACUCAAUUGGUUUCUACUUUGGUAUUGGAGGUCUUUGCAGCUUCACACCUGCUCCUCUUUGUUCAUUAGCUGGAUCUCAGUGUUAUGCUUGGUUCCACUCGGCGUGAUAAGUUAUCUAUCGCUGAGGACACUGUAAAAGGUGGCCAAGGUAAAUGCAGAUGAACCGCUUCUAAUAGUCCAUUGACUUGGACAAUACUUUUAUGAUCUGAUCUCAAAUCAGGUAGGACUACCCGCUGAACUUAAGC
rnacentral:misc_RNA from 1 species